CCAGACUCCUACGGGAGGCAGCAGUGGGGAAUUUUGGACAAUGGGCGCAAGCCUGAUCCAGCCAUGCCGCGUGUCUGAAGAAGGCCUUCGGGUUGUAAAGGACUUUUGUCAGGGAAGAAAAGGCUGUUGCUAAUACCGACAGUUAAUGACGGUACCUGAAGAAUAAGCACCGGCUAACUACGUGCCAGCAGCCGCGGUAAUACGUAGGGUGCGAGCGUUAAUCGGAAUUACUGGGCGUAAAGCGAGCGCAGACGGUUACUUAAGCAGGAUGUGAAAUCCCCGGGCUCAACCUGGGAACUGCGUUCUGAACUGGGUGACUAGAGUGUGUCAGAGGGAGGUAGAAUUCCACGUGUAGCAGUGAAAUGCGUAGAGAUGUGGAGGAAUACCGAUGGCGAAGGCAGCCUCCUGGGAUAACACUGACGUUCAUGCUCGAAAGCGUGGGUAGCAAACAGGAUUAGAUACCCUGGUAGUCCACGCCCUAAACGAUGUCAAUUAGCUGUUGGGCAACUUGAUUGCUUAGUAGCGUAGCUAACGCGUGAAAUUGACCGCCUGGGGAGUACGGUCGCAAGAUUAAAACUCAAAGGAAUUGACGGGGGCCCGCAAAGAAGGGC
rnacentral:rRNA from 1 species